GGGGAUGUUUUUUGGAUUCGACAGGUAUAGGUCGAGUUUCGACUGCGUUUCGAAGGUUGCGUCUUCGUAAAAACGCUCAGUUUUAAAUUAUAACUGCAAACAAUAAUUCAAACUCUUACGCAGUUGCUGCCUAACAAGUAGCACGCGUAAGAUCGGAAGAGCACACGUCUGAACUCCAGUCACACACAG
rnacentral:tmRNA from 1 species